AAAACAUCUUUUCUUGUUAGUUUUUGAAGUAUGGCCUGCCCGCUGACAUUGAGUGUUGAAGGGCCGCGGUAUUUUGACCGUGCAAAGGUAGCAUAAUCAUUAGUUCUUUAAUUGUGAUCUGGAAUGAAUGGCUUGACGAGGCACGGGCUGUCUUAGUGUUGAAUGUUUUAUUGAAUUUGGUCUUUGAGUUAAAAUUCUUAAAUGUUUUUGUGGGACGAGAAGACCCUAUAGAGUUUGACAUUUGGUUUAUUUCCUGUUUGGCUGUUUGUUUGUUUUGUUGGUGAGUGGGCUUUUUGUUUUGUUGGGGUGAUGAGAGGAAUAUGUUUAACUCCUCUUGGUUUUGGUUAUAUUGAUUUAUAGUUGUUUGAUCCAUUUAUUUUGAUUAUAAGACUAAAUUACCUUAGGGAUAACAGCGUUAUCUUCCUUGAGAGUUCUUAUCGGCAGGGAGGUUUGCGACCUCGAUGUUGGAUUAAGGUGAAUUUUGG
rnacentral:rRNA from 1 species